CACCAAUCAACCACAGCGUGUAGA
rnacentral:siRNA from 1 species